CCUACGGGGGGCAGCAGUGGGGAAUAUUGCGCAAUGGGCGAAAGCCUGACGCAGCGACGCCGCGUGAGGGAUGAAGGUCUUCGGAACGUAAACCUCUGUCAGCAGGGAAGAACGGUCAGUGUGCUAAUCAGCAGUGAAUUGACGGUACCUGCAAAGGAAGCACCGGCUAACUACGUGCCAGCAGCCGCGGUAAUACGGAGGGUGCGAGCGUUAAUCGGAAUUACUGGGCGGAAAGCGCGCGUAGGCGGGAUGGCAAGUCAAGGGUGAAAUCCCCGCGCUCAACGUGGGAACUGCCUUUGAAACUGGCAGACUGGAGUGUGUGAGAGGAUAGUGGAAUUCCAGGUGUAGGAGUGAAAUCCGUAGAUAUCUGGAGGAACAUCAGUGGCGAAGGCGACUAUCUGGCACAUAACUGACGCUGAGGAGCGAAAGCGUGGGUAGCAAACAGGAUUAGAUACCCCAGUAGUC
rnacentral:rRNA from 1 species